GUGAACGCUGGCGGUAGGCCUAACCCAUGCAAGUCGAACGGCAGCACCGUAAGAGCUUGCUCUUACGGGUGGCGAGUGGCGGACGGGUGAGGAAUACAUCGGAAUCUACUUUUUCGUGGGGGAUAACGUAGGGAAACUUACGCUAAUACCGCAUACGACCUACGGGUGAAAGCAGGGGAUCUUCGGACCUUGCGCGAUUGCAUGAGCCGAUGUCGGAUUAGCUAGUUGGCGGGGUAAAGGCCCACCAAGGCGACGAUCCGUAGCUGGUCUGAGAGGAUGAUCAGCCACACUGGAACUGAGACACGGUCCAGACUCCUACGGGAGGCAGCAGUGGGGAAUAUUGGACAAUGGGCGCAAGCCUGAUCCAGCCAUACCGCGUGGGUGAAGAAGGCCUUCGGGUUGUAAAGCCCUUUUGUUGGGAAAGAAAAGCAGCAGGUUAAUACCCCGCUGUUCUGACGGUACCCAAAGAAUAAGCACCGGCUAACUUCGUG
rnacentral:rRNA from 1 species